rnacentral:rRNA from 1 species
AUUGAACGCUGGCGGCAUGCUUUACACAUGCAAGUCGAACGGCAGCACGGGGGCAGCCCUGGUGGCGAGUGGCGAACGGGUGAGUAAUACAUCGGAACGUGCCCGGUCGUGGGGGAUAACGUAGCGAAAGUUACGCUAAUACCGCAUACGAUCUGAGGAUGAAAGCGGGGGACCUUCGGGCCUCGCGCGAUCGGAGCGGCCGAUGUCAGAUUAGGUAGUUGGUGGGGUAAAGGCCUACCAAGCCGACGAUCUGUAGCUGGUCUGAGAGGACGACCAGCCACACUGGGACUGAGACACGGCCCAGACUCCUACGGGAGGCAGCAGUGGGGAAUUUUGGACAAUGGGCGCAAGCCUGAUCCAGCCACUCCGCGUGCAGGACGAAGGCCUUCGGGUUGUAAACUGCUUUUGUACGGAACGAAAAGGCUCUGGCUAAUACCUGGGGCUCAUGACGGUACCGUAAGAAUAAGCACCGGCUAACUACGUG